rnacentral:rRNA from 1 species
GAUGAACGCUAGCGAUAGGCUUAACACAUGCAAGUCGAGGGGCAGCAGAUUUAGCUUGCUAAGGUCGAUGGCGACCGGCGCACGGGUGGUAACGCGUAUGCAACUUGCCUUACAGAGGGGGAUAACCCGUUGAAAGACGGACUAAAACCGCAUACUCCCGUAUUAUUGCAUGAUAUUACAAGGAAAUAUUUAUAGCUGUAAGAUAGGCAUGCGUCCCAUUAGCUGGUUGGUGAGGUAACGGCUCACCAAGGCGACGAUGGGUAGGGGAACUGAGAGGUUUAUCCCCCACACUGGUACUGAGACACGGACCAGACUCCUACGGGAGGCAGCAGUGAGGAAUAUUGGUCAAUGGGCGAGAGCCUGAACCAGCCAAGUCGCGUGAAGGAAGACAGUCCUAAGGAUUGUAAACUUCUUUAUACGGGAAUAAA